CUCUUCUCUUCCUCAUGUUUUUCCCACGGCCGCCGUCUGAAAUCGGAAAAUGCAAGGGAAGGAGCACUGGAUCUUAAAUUACAACAAGUGCAGAUCAUUUGAUUGGACAUAGGAAGAAUGCAAUUGAAUUUAGAUCUGUGUUUACGAAGAAGAUCCUGCGACUGUAAUGAAAUUGGUGAUGCUUGAUAGGAGGAUUUAUAGCUAAAAGAUAUUAUUAUUAUUAUUCUGCUGCUGAUUUACGUAGACAGAAGAUGGUUACUGCUAUGAGAUUUUAGUUUCUCAGUUUUAGGGGAAGUAUUUAAAGACUUUGAAUUGAUGGUAGUGCAUAUUAUGUGGCUCCUUAAGAAUUUUGACGGCAUUACGGAGCAGAAGCUGAUAUCUGGAGUGUUGAUGUCACUUCGUAGUGGAGUCCCACCCACAUGGCAGUGUCAAACUGGAAAUCAACACAGUGAUGUCUAGUUUUACGUACUAAUGGAUCAGGGAAUAAAAUAGAUAGCCUAUUUGUGAAAAAGGUGCUCAAGUUGGUGCACAUUUUAUCUUCUCUGGGAAUGUUUUUGAACCAAGAGCACUUGAUGAACUUAUUCCACACUGGAAACAACAACAGGAUUGUUGCUAAAGGAGCUGUUUGUAAGAAAAAGUUUCCAACCGCCGGAUGACUUCAAAAAUUGAGAAGCCCCGUUUUCUUAUCCUUGGCGGAGAUUUCGUGUAUCAGCGGGUGUCUACAUCAACUUUUGGUACUUUAUUUCAGCAGGAAACGGAUCAUUUGAAGGUGGCAGUAGCAAAGAUAGUUGCUCAUCAUCCCUAUGUCUUAUUGGUAGAAAAUUCAGUUACACGUUUCGCUCAAGAAUACCUCUUUGAAAAAGACACAUCUCUCGUUCUCAAUAUCAAGAGGCCUCUGUUAGACCAUAUAGCACGGUGCACAGAUAGUUCCUUCGAUUCAUCAUCUUUCGACUCAAAAACCGGGUUAUGGUGAAGCAUUUCACAUGGAGAAGUUCCUUGAAGCACAUGGGAGUGCUGGGCAGGGAGGAAAGAAAAUGGUGAAGACAUUUUUGUUAUUUGAAGGGUGCCCCAAGCCAUUGGGUUGCACUUAGGUACUCUCUGGAUGCUGUCUGUGACAGGUGGUCGACAGGGCAGAACUUCUAUUUACUGAAGUACUUAAUGCUCUCCCGUAGAUUUCAACAAAAAGAAUAGGCACGUUAUCAGUAAAGGUGGCAUAAUCAAGACGUUACAUUGGAGAUCUUGAAAAGUUGCUUCAGAAGGAGAAGGUAGAAUUUGAGGUAUGAUAGUUUUUCUUAUUUCUCAGGUCAUGUCGGAGUUCGAUUUCUUGCUGAAGUAAAAGGGAUUUAUUGCUAAACAUGGAAAAAAUGUGACCUUUCUCUCGUUACCCACUGUAUUUUUCUGGCCUGAUUGACAUAGAAUUAUUUAGACCGUGAAUAUUCUCUUUCCUAUUUUUUUGUUUCAUUCACUGAACAUUCUGUUUUUGCAAUGACACGGGAAUCU